UACGAAGGAUCCAAGCGUUAUCCGGAUUUAUUGGGUCUAAAGGGUGCGUAGGCGGCUUUUUAAGUCAGUGGUGAAAGCUCCAUGCUUAACAUGGAAAUUGCCAUUGAUACUGAAGAGCUUGAGUACAUUUGAAGUGGGCGGAAUAUGUCAUGUAGAGGUGAAAUUCUUAGAGAUGACAUAGAACACCGAUUGCGAAGGCAGCUUACUAGGCUGUAACUGACGCUGAGGCACGAAAGUGUGGGGAUCAAACAGG
rnacentral:rRNA from 1 species